rfam:Bacteroides sp. An322 An322_contig_46, whole genome shotgun sequence.
GGUUGUGCCGCCAGGUGCAUUGCCGGGUAUCCGCGUCUGGAUCGGAUAAGCGCUGAAAGCAUCUAAGCGCGAAGCCGGCCGCAAGAUUAGAUUUCCUGGAGGGCCGUCAGAGACUAUGACGUUGAUAGGAUGCAGGUGUAUAGGUGGAGACACCACAGCCGAGCAUUACUAAUUGCCCGAAACUUUCAUGGC